CCAUAUUGAAAAGAACUUAGAAUAUUUUUGUGAAGACAAAAUUAUUGAAAAUCACGUAAAUUCAAACAUGAUUUUACACAAAAAGUUAAUAAAUUAGUGCAUCAACAAAUAUAAUUGAUGAAACAGAUGGAGUUUAAAUGAAAUAUUUGUCAAAAUUUGGAUUAUUUGAACAAAAAUGUGAACCGGCAAAAUUUGCAGAUAUUCUUCGGUAAAUCAGGAAGAAAAAUUGCAAAAAGGCGUUGAUAAGGUCUUAUAAUACCGAAGUCGAACACAAAAAAUUAUGUUGAAGACGAAAUUUUAUCACAUUUGGCAAGGAAAACUAUCGUUUGUGGCUACAGGUUGUUAAAUUGAAUUUUAGAUUACUUUGGCAAAAAAUGGAAAAAACGGGAACAAAACAUGAAUCGUUUGAGAAGAAAAAAAGGCUUGACAAGGUAAUAUCUACACAUAAUUUGUAAAUUAAGACUCAAUGUAAACUUAAUUUAUGUAAAAAGUAAAAUAAUUUUAAUAAAA